GAUGAAGAACGCAGCGAAAUGCGAUAAGUAAUGUGAAUUGCAGAAUUCAGUGAAUCAUCGAAUCUUUGAACGCACAUUGCGCCCGCCAGUAUUCUGGCGGGCAUGCCUGUUCGAGCGUCAUUACAACCCUCAGGCCCCCGGGCCUGGCGUUGGGGAUCGGCGGAAGCCCCCUGCGGGCACAACGCCGUCCCCCAAAUACAGUGGCGGUCCCGCCGCAGCUUCCAUUGCGUAGUAGCUAACACCUCGCAACUGGAGAUCGGCGCGGCCACGCCGUAAAACACCCAACUCUUCUGAAGUUGACCUCGAAUCAGGUAGGAAUACCCGCUGAACUUAAGCAUAUCAAUAAGCGGAGGA
rnacentral:misc_RNA from 1 species